CUCCCUUGCAGGUCUCUGCACACCCUCAGCAACUCAAACGCCGUAGCCGCGCGUGGCCUCAUAACUACUCUCCUCGGGCUCGACACAGCUAACUUCUUCUUCCACGACUCCUUGAAUGAGACAGAAGGCAACGAUCCGCGAGUGGGAACUACGCACCAAGUGGGCAUCACCGCAGCGGCUAUGAAAAGCAAAUGCUCUAAAGGCCAUGGAGGCUUAAUCUUGUCGCUAAUCCCACACAUGGCACCAUUCAAAAUCAGCCCAUCCCACGCUCCCUUCUGACGAAGGGUGAUGUACAAAGCUAUAGCACCACCCAGUGACUCGGCAUACAAAAACGCGGGCAAAUUGGGAGCGUGGGCUUCACGAAAUGCCUUAAAGAAAUCGAUGCAAUCAUCGACGACGGGAUUGAUAUCGGGGAUGUGGUAGAUCAGGCCAUCCGAGAAGCCGUGGCCCUG
rnacentral:misc_RNA from 1 species